UACGUAGGGUGCGAGCGUUGUCCGGAAUUAUUGGGCGUAAAGAGCUCGUAGGCGGUUUGUCACGUCUGCUGUGAAAACUGGAGGCUCAACCUCCAGCCUGCAGUGGGUACGGGCAGACUAGAGUGCGGUAGGGGGAGAUUGGAAUUCCUGGUGUAGCGGUGGAAUGCGCAGAUAUCAGGAGGAACACCGAUGGCGAAGGCAGAUCUCUGGGCCGUAACUGACGCUGAGGAGCGAAAAGCAUGGGGGAGCGAACAGG
rnacentral:rRNA from 1 species